UACAGAGGUGGCAAGCGUUGUUCGGAAUUAUUGGGCGUAAAGGGCGCGUAGGCGGCCUUGCAAGUCCGGUGUGAAAUCCCUCGGCUCAACUGAGGAACUGCACAGGAAACUGCUUGGCUUGAGUUCGGGAGAGGGAAGCGGAAUUCCGGGUGUAGCGGUGAAAUGCGUAGAUAUCCGGAGGAACACCGGUGGCGAAGGCGGCUUCCUGGACCGUCACUGACGCUGAGGCGCGAAAGCUAGGGGAGCAAACGGG
rnacentral:rRNA from 1 species